UGCGUAGGCGGUUUGGAAAGUCAGAUGUGAAAUCCUACAGCUUAACUGUAGAACUGCAUUUGAAACUUCCAGACUAGAGUAUGGAAGAGGUAAAGGGAAUUCCCGGUGUAAGGGUGAAAUCUGCAGAUAUCGGGAAGAACACCAGUAGCGAAGGCGCUUUACUGGUCCAUCACUGACGCUGAGUGCACGAAGGUGUGGGGAGCAAACG
rnacentral:rRNA from 1 species